rnacentral:rRNA from 1 species
UACGUAGGGUGCAAGCGAUGUCCGGAUUUAUUGGGUUUAAAGGGUGCGUAGGUGGCUUUUUAAGUCAUGGGUGAAAUCCCACAGCUCAACUGUGGAACUGCCUGUGAUACUGACUAGCUUGAGUGCGGUUGAGGCAGCUGGAAUUGGUGGUGUAGCGGUGAAAUGCAUAGAUACCACCAGGAACACAGAUUGCGAAGGCAGGUUGCUAAUCCGUAACUGACACUGAGGCACGAAAGCGUGGGGAUCAAACAGG